rnacentral:rRNA from 1 species
GACGAACGCUGGCGGCGUGCCUAACACAUGCAAGUAGGCCGCAGUUGCGAACGGGUGAGUAACGCGUAGGUAACUACCUAUUAGAGGGGGAUAACUAUUGGAAACGAUAGCUAAUACCGCAUACUAGUAGAUGGACCUGCGUUGUAUUAGCUAGUAGGUAGGGUAAUGGCCUACCUAGGCAACGAUACAUUGCCGACCUGGGAGGGUGGACGGCCACACUGGGACUGGGGCACGGGCCAGACUCCUACGGGAGGGAGCAGGAGGGAAUCUUCGGCAAUGGGGGGAACCCUGACCGAGCAACGCCGCUGGAGUGGAGAAGGGUUUCGGAUCGUAAAGCUCUGUUGUUAAGGAAGCGGUAUCUAACCAAAAAGCCACGGCUAACUACGUGCCAGCAGCCGCGGUAAUUC